AGAGUUUGAUCCUGGCUCAGGAUGAACGCUGGCGGCGUGCUUAACACAUGCAAGUCGAACGAAGCACCUUGAUUUGAUUCUUCGGAUGAAGAUCCUGGUGACUGAGUGGCGGACGGGUGAGUAACGCGUGGGUAACCUGCCUCAUACAGGGGGAUAACAGUUAGAAAUGACUGCUAAUACCGCAUAAGACCACAGCACCGCAUGGUGCAGGGGUAAAAACUCCGGUGGUAUGAGAUGGACCCGCGUCUGAUUAGGUAGUUGGUGGGGUAACGGCCUACCAAGCCGACGAUCAGUAGCCGACCUGAGAGGGUGACCGGCCACAUUGGGACUGAGACACGGCCCAAACUCCUACGGGAGGCAGCAGUGGGGAAUAUUGCACAUGGGGGAAACCCUGAUGCAGCGACGCCGCGUGAGCGAUGAAGUAUUUCGGUAUGUAAAGCUCUAUCAGCAGGGAAGAAAAUGACGGUACCUGACUAAGAAGCACCGGCUAAAUACGUGCCAGCAGCCGCGGUAAUACGUAUGGUGCAAGCGUUAUCCGGAUUUACUGGGUGUAAAGGGAGCGUAGACGGAGUGGCAAGUCUGAUGUGAAAACCCGGGGCUCAACCCCGGGACUGCAUUGGAAACUGUCAAUCUAGAGUACCGGAGAGGUAAGCGGAAUUCCUAGUGUAGCGGUGAAAUGCGUAGAGAUCAGGAGGAACAUCGGUGGCGAAGGCGGCUUACUGGGCUUUUACUGACGCUGAGGCUCGAAAGCGUGGGGAGCAAACAGGAUUAGAUACCCUGGUAGUCCACGCUGUAAACGAUGAUUACUAGGUGUGGGGGGAUUGACCCCUUCCGUGCCGCAGUUAACACAAUAAGUAAUCCACCUGGGGAGUACGACCGCAAGGUUGAAACUCAAAGGAAUUGACGGGGGCCCGCACAAGCAGUGGAGUAUGUGGUUUAAUUCGAAGCAACGCGAAGAACCUUACCAGGUCUUGACAUCGAGUGACGUAUCCAGAGAUGGAUAUUUCCUUCGGGACACAAAGACAGGUGGUGCAUGGUUGUCGUCAGCUCGUGUCGUGAGAUGUUGGGUUAAGUCCCGCAACGAGCGCAACCCUUAUCAUUAGUUGCUACGCAAGAGCACCCUAAUGAGACUGCCGUUGACAAAACGGAGGAAGGUGGGGAUGACGUCAAAUCAUCAUGCCCCUUAUGACCUGGGCUACACACGUACUACAAUGGCGAUCGAACAGAGGGAAGCAAGACAGCGAUGUGGAGCCAAUCCCAAAAAAUCGCCCCAGUUCAGAUUGCAGGCUGCAACUCGCCUGCAUGAAGUCGGAAUUGCUAGUAAUCGCAGAUCAGCAUGCUGCGGUGAAUACGUUCCCGGGCCUUGUACACACCGCCCGUCACACCAUGGGAGUCGGUAACACCCAAAGCCGGUCGUCUAACCUUCGGGAGGACGCCGUCUAAGGUGGGAUUGAUGACUGGGGUGAAGUCGUAACAAGGUA
rnacentral:rRNA from 1 species